rfam:Oryza glaberrima chromosome 7 Oglab07_0140_5, whole genome shotgun sequence.
AAUAAGUGCAGCCAUGAGUUUCCGUGUUUAACUUUGAUCGUCCAUCUUAUUUAAAAUUUUACUUUACUCGUUACUUAUGUUUUUAAUUUUUUUUAAAUUUUUUUUAAAUAGAUGAAUGGUUAAAGUUGGACGUGGAAAAUUAUGGCUGCACUUAUU